AUGGAGGCUGCCAUUUUUUUCUACCAGACUAUAAAAAUAACCGCUGAUUUGAUUGGAUAACUCAAUUUCCGGGAUUUCCGAUCGGCCAAUCAGAUCGUCGUUAUCAUUAAUACACGGAAUGUGUUCAAAUUUGAAACUAAAAAUAUUGUACGAGUAUGUAUCCUGUCCUGUGGUUACAUUAAUCAUGUUAAUAAUUAUUAAUACUCAACAACCUUCGAUAAAUAAAGAAAAAGUCAUUAAAAGCAGAACAUUUAGGCAUGACAUUAGCUGUUGAACCAAGAAUUUACGAUGAGACGAUGUGCUGAUGUAGGGCAGACGUACAGCAGAUACAGGUUGUCCAUAUAUUAAAAGGAAUUGAUCAUGGUGAAGGUACAAAGCUGCAAAAAUGAUGACUGUGCAUCGAUCAAUAUCCACUCAAUAAUAUGAAAACACGAUGAAAACAAACGAACCAGCAGGAGAAAAGAAAUUUGAGUAUAAGAUUAUUGAAAGAUUAAUCAAUGAAGACUUAAUUGAAGAGGAUUGGAAUGCAGAAACUUUUGACUUAAUUCAUGAAUAAUAUCAAUGGAUGAUGAAGAAAACUGACCAAACUGACAAAGUAUUUCGUAUGCGUGUAAACUGGACAUUUUUGUUUGUUUAAUGCACAAUAAACAAAUUUGUAAAAUUGAAAAUUAAAACCAUUUGUGAAAGAUUUCAAG